rnacentral:rRNA from 1 species
GACGAACGCUGGCGGCGCGCUUAACACAUGCAAGUCGAACGGAAAGGCUCCAGCUUGCUGGAGUACUCGAGUGGCGAACGGGUGAGUAACACGUGGGUAAUCUGCCCUGCACUCUGGGAUAAGCCUGGGAAACUGGGUCUAAUACUGGAUAUGACCUUUCUCCUUAUGGGGUUUGGUGGAAAGUUUUUCGGUGUAGGAUGAGCCCGCGGCCUAUCAGCUUGUUGGUGGGGUGAUGGCCUACCAAGGCGACGACGGGUAGCCGGCCUGAGAGGGUGAUCGGCCACAUUGGGACUGAGAUACGGCCCAGACUCCUACGGGAGGCAGCAGUGGGGAAUAUUGCACAAUGGGCGGAAGCCUGAUGCAGCGACGCCGCGUGAGGGAUGACGGCCUUCGGGUUGUAAACCUCUUUCAGCAGGGACGAAGCGUAAGUGACGGUACCUGCAGAAGAAGCACCGGCUAACUACGUG